CCCAUCCACUCCCAACAUCAAAAUAUGUCUUAAGGUUAGAAUUUUGGUGCUACUUCUGAUUUCUCUUUGACUGCUCCUUCCUGUGCCCAAGGUCUCUCAAAAUUCCUUCACUGAACUUUCCAUGGUACUCAGUUCCAUGCCAGAAUGGACUGCUAUACUAGGAAACCUUUCUUCUAUUCUCUAUUGGGAGAUCAAAUCUAUGCCAUGCCCUGUUUUCAUUUGAUCUCUUCUUCCACUCUCUGACAUUCAUACUUAAAACAGUAAGAAUAAAAACAAAGAAUUAAGAAAGAGUAUGGAAGCUAUCGAUGCAAAUUAGCACAGGCUUACAAAUUUGGGGGUCCUUGGGUCAUGAUUCAACAUAGAAGAAAAAUUUAGCCUGACAUAUAAGCAUUUUCUUAGGCAUCUGGACAACCUCUUCCCUCAUCAACAUGCCAACCCUGCCAAGUCUAAAGAAGGGGUCAGUUUUGUAAAAUCCUUAUUAUGCAGGACGAGAUUUCUAUUCAGUUUCCCUGCAAAGGCAGAGGUAAGUUUCCCAGAAGAGCUGGUUAAUUUCUUUGCUCACCUCCUUCACACUCAGUGAAUUCAAGGAAGUGAUAGAUUCUUGGGCCUCCGCCCACACGUACAGGUGUAAGGACAAUGGAUAGAAGGACCAGUUGCUUUAAGUUCUUAAGAAAACGAAGACACCACAGCAUCACUUCAUAGGUGAUUUUUGUGCCUUAUGCCAUAGAAAUCUGUAUGUCCUGGAUUUUCCAGGACAACUCCAAUUUCAGAUAUAUUUAUACUUGUCAAGUCAUAAUUUGUUACUAUUGGCUAACAAAAUACGAUCACCUUGGUUACAGGUGAGCCUGUGUUAUGUGAGGUUAUUGUCCUAACUAAUUUUUCUUGGAUGGCGUCAAACAUGACUGAGUUCUACCAAACUGUAUACUAAAUGAGUCAUAUUAUUGAGAUGAUACGGUGCAGUUACCAGGUGGUUCUGCUAAUAAUUAGAAACACAUUUCUAUAUUUCAUAGGAUCAAGGAAAGGAAAACAUCACCAGGAAAAUGUUACAUGUGGGGACAAUUAUUCAAUAGGCCCUUGGCUGGGAUUUGUGGAUAUGAACAUAAUUCAGAGAGCAAUUUUUCAUGGGUUCAAACUCUUGGACUUGUGAAAAUCUGGGAUUGAAAACAAUGUUUGCUUUGUUCUCAAAAGUCAUAGCCAUGACACACCAGAUGUUGUAGUCUCUGAUAAAAAAUUCUUG
rnacentral:lncRNA from 1 species